rnacentral:rRNA from 1 species
GACGGAGCAACGCCGCGUGAGUGAUGACGGCCUUCGGGUUGUAAAGCUCUGUUAAUCGGGACGAAAGGCCUUCUUGCGAAUAGUUAGAAGGAUUGACGGUACCGGAAUAGAAAGCCACGGCUAACUACGUGCCAGCAGCCGCGGUAAUACGUAGGUGGCAAGCGUUGUCCGGAAUUAUUGGGCGUAAAGCGCGCGCAGGCGGAUAGGUCAGUCUGUCUUAGAAGUUCGGGGCUUAACCCCGUGAUGGGAUGGAAACUGCCAAUCUAGAGUAUCGGAGAGGAAAGUGGAAUUCCUAGUGUAGCGGUGAAAUGCGUAGAUAUUAGGAAGAACACCAGUGGCGAAGGCAGACUUUCUGGACGAAAACUGACGCUGAGGCGCGAAAGCCAGGGGAGCGAACGGGAUUAGAUACCCCGGUAGUGCUGGCCGUAAACGAUGGGUACUACGUGUAGGAGGUAUCGACCCCUUCUGUGCCGGAGUAACGCAAUAAGUACCCCGCCUGGGGAGUACGACCGCAAGGUUGAAACUCAAAGGAAUUGACGGGGGCCCGCACAAGCGGUGGAGUAUGUGGUUUAAUUCUACGC